rnacentral:rRNA from 1 species
GACGAACGCUGGCGGCGGGCCUAACACAUGCAAGUCGAGCGAGCGGCGGACGGGUGUGUAAUGUCUGUGAAACUGCCUGAUGGAGGGGGAUAACUACUGGAAACGGUAGCGAUUAUCGCAUACCAUCAGAUGUGCCCAGAUUGGAUUAGCUAGUAGGUGGGGUAACGGCGCACCUAGGCGACGAUCCCUAGCUGGUCUGAGAGGAUGACCAGCCACACUGGAACUGAGACACGGUCCAGACUCCUACGGGAGGCAGCAGUGGGGAAUAUUGCACAAUGGGCGCAAGCCUGAUGCAGCCAUGCCGCGUGGUUGAAGAAGGCCUUCGGGUUGUAAAGCACUUUCAGCGGGGAGGCGUUACCCGCAGAAGAAGCACCGGCUAACUCCGUGCCAGCAGCCGCGGUAAUUC